AAGGGCCAGAAUCCCCCUGGGGAAAUUCAACAAGUGAGACUAUGGUGAUGGGGGACUGUGCUGGGAGGAAGACUAUGCUGAUGGGUCUUGGCCCUGUUCCCCUGUUAAGUCCCCCACUAGGAGGAUCACUGCUUUCUUGAGUUCAGUCAUCAUUGGUGCCUGCCACCUCCUUUGCCAUCCCUACUGUUAUCUGGGAUGAAGGAGGAUUUCUGUACCAGUCAGUCAUAACAGAGGCACAUUUUGGAGGAGGCCAAGGUGAAAGAGUCAUGGAGCCCAUAAGCCCUGCAUGAGCCCAGGGGCCUGAGUAGAUCUCCAAAUCAGAGAGCAGGUCCAUCGCUGGAGAGAGAUGCUUCCACUGUACCCAAUGCAAAUGCCUGAACAUCAACAAGUCACCUCUCUCCUGCUCUGUCCCUUCACCUGGAGAGUUCUGAAGCUUGGUGUACCUAGCGCCAUUUGUCAUGGUGACAGGGAGAAGAUGUAAUCCAUCCAGCUGCCGGUUGCAUCCUGAAAAAUCAAUGCAUUAAAGAUCUGUCUUUCUUUC